CCAUUCAAUGUUCUUUACUCUCCAAAUCAUUACCCAAAAGGACCACGAGGUCCUUUCAAUGUUCUUUACUCUCCAAAUCAUUACCCAAAAGGACCACGAGGUCCUUUCAAUGUUCUUUACUCUCCAAAUCAUUACCCAAAAGGGCCAAAACCUUAACUUCCAUUUGUUUCCCGAGAAAAAUGCAAGAAAAUAAAAUCUCCAGUCAUAUAUAUAUAUAUAUAUAUAUAUAUAAUAUUGCAUGGUGAUGAUUAAUUACCAGACCAUAAUAUUAAUCAACCAUGGUGUUGCCUAUGCUGGCAUUAGCCAAGCUCAACCUCCUUUCCCAGUCCGGAAGCCUCGGCCCCAUCGUAUGCAGUUUGGUAUGGCCUUUUCUGCUCAAACUUUCCUUCAGCUUCCCAUUCCUUCCUCGAACCUACGCCGGCGUCGUCGAUGCAUCCAGGCUCUUCUUCUUUCAGUUGGGUCAGAUUGCGUUUGGAUCGGCUGAUCAGUCGGCUUUUGGCGGCGGCUCCAGACUGGAGCGAGCUCUUCGGCUCGUUUACCGGAGGGGGAGCCAUGCAAGCCGGCCACAGGCUCCACAGAUAGAGGAUGAUGAUAGCUUGCAUGCCCUCUCCAUGAUUGUGCUUUAAUUAAAUUAGCAGGUUGUCAGGCUGUAGAGUGAAAAAUUCGCUAAGAUAAAGAUUCCGAGUGAAUGGCUUACAACGUCAGGUUUGCUUAGUUAGUAUUUAAUUAUUAAUGUUCUACGAAGGUCUAUUUGGAAGCUCGAAAUCUAUAAUGAUGAUGCAUAAUGUUAUUUAGAUCAUAUAUAUGUUAAUAGUCUCAGAUUAUUCAUUAUGUUUCCGCAAAUUCAUACUCUGAGUAGUUAGGCGCAUUUAGAGCAACAUCAUUGGUUAAUUGGUCUGGUGGAAAUUGCAUGUAACACUCAACGUUAAUCAAAGUUGAUUGAUUUAACUCA